rnacentral:misc_RNA from 1 species
AACGCACGAGACCUGCGGACCUGCGGAGGGAUCAUUACAAAAGUUAUACACUUGGGGAACGGACUCGUCUUUCGGGACUUGAGGCCUGACUCCAUUUGUAACACAACUUCAACCACUUGUGAACAUGUAAUAAUAUCUCACCAAUUGACUGUUAACGAAGUCUGAUUCAAAUUGUAUUGGUGUUAAUAGACACUAGUAAAAUAUGAAACAACUUUCAGCAAUGGAUCUCUAGAUCGGAAG